GGCAUUCUGCACUGUUCGCCACAAUGCUUGAUUUUUGAUCCUUAUAGGUACACAUUCCGGGAAUCCGAUAUUUAUUGAUCCUGCGGGAUCAAUGUGAGGAUACCCCCCUUUUUAAAAAGGCGGACCAAAAACAGCAUCUUAACGGCAGAGGCGGGUGCCU
rnacentral:other from 1 species